AUAAAAGUAAGCUAAAGAAGCUGAUGGGUUCAUACCCCAUUUAUAAAGGUAUACCCCUUUUUUUUAUA
rnacentral:tRNA from 2 species